ACCCACCACGCUUUACCAAGUUUGAACCCCACACCGAACAUGCCCGGACACAAUUCACCCAAACCCUCAAAACCACGCUACACUACCCAUCCACCGCUGCCCGGCGCAACAUUUGGCACGCGUAUUCACACACUCCACGACAUAAACCCUAAAACGACAAGAUCACUCCGCACACCCUCCCGAAGAUUUGCUCUUAUCGUGCGCGAUAGUCAAGCGACCAUCAAACUACCACCUUGUGCAGACCACGUCCCAAAUACACACACAGUGCCCAGCAACUUCAACAAUCAAAAGCUUCGUCCAACUCAACAAGUCUAACGUCCAGUACGCCACUGACCAUUCCACUCCGACAUCCAACAACAUCUCGCAGGUCUUCCACCGAUGGCGAAGGGGUUGAGCAACCGACAAUGUUCCAGCGACACGCACUUUACCAUCCAUGGUUGUACAAUCCCAUCACCCUUUCACAGCGAAAACCACUCCACAGGUCGUUCGAUACUCUCUACCAACCCACCGAAGCCUUAAUUGUCAUGCUUUGCACGCCAUAACAUGCCCCUCAUAAGGACUCCGAAAACAAAAUCACGCUUCGACACAGACAAAUCGUCAAAAGCACUCAGCUACAUAUACGUUGCAAACAAACUAAUUGAGACUUUCAAAAGUCAAAAUCACAAAAAAAAGAAGAAAAGUCGGGGUUCUCAAGACUCUGAUAAAGCUUCGCUUCUGACACCAAGACCACCAUCUUCUAACCACGCAUGCAUCUGAAGCUACUCUGUCCACUCACACAUGUACCAUAACACACCCACACUCCCCGUUUCCACAAUGUCAUGCCACCACCCCAAUCCCCACCAGCUCUACCAUCGAACUUUCUCACAAUCUACAUUCAGACCACCCACACAACCUCAAUGAUCCAUCCAUUCCACUACCAGUACUUCAAACACACACACACACACACACACACACCUUCCCAACCCCCACUUUCCAUGCUCCACACACACCAUCACGAUCAACUCAUCGACAUCUCCACAAAUGCCACACAAACAUCCCAAAGGUCCUCCAUAACCACACAUCCCCGAACUAACCCAACACAACCCUCUCUACACCACCACCACCACAAGAACUGCACUACCAACACCAACACCAACACAACUUCUCACCAAAUACCCAAAACACACACACACACACACACACACAAACACUCACUAUUCGGGAUUCAUGGUGCCUUUCUUUCGGAUCGGCCUUCUGGGCUAUCUCCCUGCCUUCAACCAAACUUCUGCCACU
rnacentral:lncRNA from 1 species